rnacentral:lncRNA from 1 species
UUAGAACUUCUAUAUGAGCUUGUGUAGUUAGAACUAAAUGUAAAUGAGUAGUAGAAGUCCAUACUACUACAGGAAUCUAUUGUACAUAUUUUUUUUUUUUAAAAAAAAAAGAUACUACCAGACCCAUAUAGUUGUUUGGCAGUUUAUACUACUAAAAACAUCUUGAUCUUCUUCUCGUUCCGAACAUCCUCUUCUACAUGAGUGAAAUGGCAAGACUUUGAGAACAUCUAUGGACUUUUAUACAUUCAGCAGUUUAUCAAUGUGAACAAACAUAAAUAGCUCCAUCUAUAUCACAAUUUGACCAAAAAUGAGAUCGUAACUCUACAUGCGGAUGUUAGUUUAUGUUUCAAAGUCUCACUCACGAAGAUCAAGUGCCAAAAAUAAACAAUUAAAAGAUCUUAUAGCAAACUUAAUAUUGAAAUUUCUCUUCUUUUUGAUAAAAAAACAUCCAUAACAUAAGAAGUGUAUUUUAUUAAGCCAAAGAUAUUGUUCAAAACUAAAAGGGUACUUCUAAUUAUUCUUCUUUUCCUAAAGCUUGCAGCGCCUUCUCCCGCCCCAACUCCAGGGAAAGAAAAAGUUUAAAUUCAGAUGGAUAAUUAAUUCUUUCAAGUAAAAGAUAUUUUUGCAAGACAAUAAAAUUACUCUACAAAAUUGAAGGGGCUAAGUUUUUAGUUUUUUUCUUCCCCUGAAGUUUGUAGUAUUUCUCUCAACUCCCAAUCCAAAGAAAGAAAAGUUUCAAAUUUAGUUCAAGAAUGAUUCUUCCAACGUAAAAGAAUUACUUUGAAGAUAAUCUUCAUGACAUCAAAGAUUAAAUAGAAAAACACGGGAUGAAAAGAAGAAGAAGAAAACUCACAAGAAACAACGAUCGAAACGAAAAAUUCACAAAAGUACAAAAAUAAAAUCAGAAAGCGCGAUGAGCGAAAAUAUGCAAACUGGGAAACUAACCGACGGCGUAUAUCAAAACUGCAUCUUGGUGCCAAGUUUGUCAAAGAGCUGUCUGCCUUGUCCGAUAAGAACAAGAAGAAUGAGAAAUUGAGAACCCGAAAAAGGGCUUGUACAGAGCGGU